UACGGAGGGAGCUAGCGUUGUUCGGAAUUACUGGGCGUAAAGCGCGCGUAGGCGGUUUUUUAAGUCAGAGGUGAAAGCCCAGUGCUCAACACUGGAACUGCCUUUGAAACUGGAAAACUUGAAUCUUGGAGAGGUCAGUGGAAUUCCGAGUGUAGAGGUGAAAUUCGUAGAUAUUCGGAAGAACACCAGUGGCGAAGGCGACUGACUGGACAAGUAUUGACGCUGAGGUGCGAAAGCGUGGGGAGCAAACAGGAUUAGAAACCCCCGUAGUCC
rnacentral:rRNA from 1 species